AUUGAACGCUGGCGGCAUGCCUAACACAUGCAAGUCGAACGGCAGCACAGCCCGCAAGGGUGGGUGGCGAGUGGCGGACGGGUGAGGAAUACAUGGGAAUCUACCCUGUCGUGGGGGAUAACGUAGGGAAACUUACGCUAAUACCGCAUACGACCGAGAGGUGAAAGCGGCGGACCGCAAGGCGUCGCGCGGCUGGAUGAGCCCAUGUCGGAUUAGCGAGUUGGCGGGGUAAAGGCCCACCAAGGCGACGAUCCGUAGCUGGUCUGAGAGGAUGAUCAGCCACACUGGAACGGAGACACGGGCCAGACUCCUGCGGGAGGCAGCAGUGGGGAAUAUUGGACAAUGGGCGCAAGCCUGAUCCAGCAAUGCCGCGUGGGUGAAGAAGGACUUCGGGUUGUAAAGCCCUUUUGUACGGGAAGAAAUCUUGUCGGUUAAUACCCGGUGAGGAUGACGGUACCGUAAGAAUAAGCACCGGCUAACUUCGUGCCAGCCGCCGCAGUAAUAC
rnacentral:rRNA from 1 species